rnacentral:rRNA from 1 species
GACGAACGCUGGCGGCGUGCCUAAUACAUGCAAGUAGAACGCUGAAGGAGGAGCUUGCUCUUCUGGAUGAGUUGCGAACGGGUGAGUAACGCGUAGGUAACCUGCCUGGUAGCGGGGGAUAACUAUUGGAAACGAUAGCUAAUACCGCAUAACAGUAGAUGUUGCAUGACAUUUACUUAAAAGGUGCAAUUGCAUCACUACCAGAUGGACCUGCGUUGUAUUAGCUAGUUGGUGGGGUAAAGGCUCACCAAGGCGACGAUACAUAGCCCACCGGAGAGGGGGAUCGGCCGCACUGGGACUGAGACACGGCCCAGACUCCUACGGGAGGCAGCAGUAGGGAAUCUUCGGCAAUGGGCGGAAGUCUGACCGAGCAACGCCGCGUGAGGGAAGAAGGUUUUCGGAUCGUAAAGCUCUGUUGUAAGGGAAGAACGAGUGUGAGAGUGGAAAGUUCACACUGUGACGGUAUCUUACCAGAAAGGGACGGCUAACUACGUG